UACGUAGGGACCGAGCGUUGUCCGGAAUCAUUGGGCGUAAAGAGCGUGUAGGCGGCCACUUAAGUCCUGCGUGAAAUCUUGCGGCUCAACCGCAAGCGGUCGUGGGAAACUGGGUGGCUAGAGUGCGGGAGAGGAGAGUGGAAUUCCUGGUGUAGCGGUGGAAUGCGCAGAUAUCAGGAAGAACACCCGUGGCGAAGGCGGCUCUCUGGGACGGUACUGACACUGAGACGCGAAAGCGUGGGGAGCGAACAGG
rnacentral:rRNA from 1 species